AACGAACGUUGGCGGCAUGCCUAACACAUGCAAGUCGAACGAGACCUUCGGGUCUAGUGGCGCACGGGCGCGUAACGCGUGGGAACCUGCCCUUAGGUUCGGAAUAACUCCCCGAAAGGGGUGCUAAUACCGGAUAAUGUCUUCGGACCAAAGAUUUAUCGCCUUUGGAUGGGCCCGCGUUGGAUUAGCUAGUUGGUAGGGUAAAAGCCUACCAAGGCGACGAUCCAUAGCUGGUCUGAGAGGAUGAUCAGCCACACUGGGACUGAGACACGGCCCAGACUCCUACGGGAGGCAGCAGUGGGGAAUAUUGGACAAUGGGCGAAAGCCUGAUCCAGCAAUGCCGCGUGAGUGAUGAAGGCCUUAGGGUUGUAAAGCUCUUUUACCCGGGAUGAUAAUGACAGUACCGGGAGAAUAAGCUCCGGCUAACUCCGUG
rnacentral:rRNA from 1 species